CCUACCGGGGUCAAUCGUGCCCCGGUCACCUAUAUAUCGGGUUUUAGGUUAACGCUAGCCAUAUGGGCUCUUCGGACUCGCUUAUCCGGUAAUUCUAUUCGAAAUUUGUCGAUGUCCGCUGCUCCCCUGGUCGCUGCUGCCCCUCGUGGUUGCUCGGCUGCUCAGCUAUGCGAACGGUAUGCCACUGUUACGUCCUGAUACGAUUCGGGACGUCGGAGUGGGUUACGUGAAGUGAAAUAAUUGAACAUUUAGUGCACUCGCGAUAUUUAAUUUGAAGAAUCCAAAAAGGGGCAACCAAUGUCGCUCUUCAACGACGACGCAUAACAAACGGUAGCCAGUCACUCAAAGUUUGUUAUACAAACAGUGAUCAAAACUGGCCGUAUUGACCUUGGCGAAAGGCUCGGACUGCAAUACUGGAGAUCCAACGGAAUUUAACACGCUAGGAUCGAAUUCACCGCCAGUAUAAUAUGCGCGUCGUAAUCGUUUUAAUUGAUGAGUACGUCCCGACCGUCAUGAUCGUAUACCAUUGGAACAAGGAAGAAACAGUGGUGACUAGAGAACGCCUUGCGGGAGGCGCGCAUCUACGUGAGGACCUGCCGAGAACGCCCUGAUAGAGGCGCGCAUCGCCUUGAGGAUCUGUCAAGAACGCCCUGAGAGAGGCGCGCAUCGACAUCUAGGUGAAAGCUAGAAAAGAUCGAAAACCGACAAUACGACGCGUGAAACUAAGAGGAGCAGCUCUCCGAAAAAUCAAACUCGCUCGCGGCUAAGUCCUUCCCGGCUCGCGGUGUUCUCAAUAUAUCAAUCUCGCGUGACUUAUUCGGAAAAUAAAAUAGAAGAGAAUGCGAAUGCUCGAUUCACAGAGGGCCUGUAUAUGUACUACUCGUUUGGUGACGUCUCGGGGUAAGGGACUACGGUGUUCAUAUGAAUACGUGAGACCAUCACGUGAAACUAUUUGGAAUGUCACGGUUAUCCGAGAGCGUCGCGUGCCGGUCCAGACUAUGAAUUUGAUCGCUCAAUAAAUGAAAUUAUCAAUCAAAUUAUAUGCUCUUUAUUUCCACGUUCCUUUAAAUUCUUUCUGAUGUGUCCUAUAAUCUUUCAAUAAUAAUAAUACUAAUUUUACCUAACAUUAUCAUUAACAUGCGUAGGGGAGACCGGGGCGAAGUCGACCCAGGAGCGGAGUAUUUUUUGCAAUUAUCUCGAAAUCUGUAUGUUGCGUGAACUCGCCAUUAAUACUGUAAACGCGGCUUAUGGUGCCCACGUGACCAACGGAGUUUAGUGAGGUUACGUGACAUGUUGUGAGUCUUAUCGAAGCAAACGUGUUUUCGCAGGUUGAAAGUACUUCCGCGUCGAAAGUUUGUAAUAUCUUAAGUAUAUUGUCUCUCCGAAUCUCAAAGUAAGUGAUUCUAAAGAGUAAUGCAUGCUGAACACGAAUCCAGUGCAGUUUUUUUAUUUUCAUUGAUUUUUAUUAUUUUAUAAGCGACCAAACCUAAAACUUGUGUUUGGGGCGAAGUCGUGACCAAACCACCAAAACGGACUCGUCCCGGUGGUUUCACUCUAUUUUCCGUUGCAAAUGCGUCAUUGUAUUUCUCAACUGCAGGAAAAUAGUACGCACGUACCAUCGCACGUACCAAAGCACGUACAUACUUUAACUGUUUCAAUGACACUAAUAGCGAAAAAGAAAAUUGAUUUUCUUGAAAUUAUUUUCCGUUUUCCAUUUUUCUACUAAAAAACAAUGAAUAAAGUGU